rnacentral:rRNA from 1 species
CCCUACGGGGUGCACCAGUACUAAUCAAAAUUUCUGGAACUGUCACGACAUUCUCUCACCGGGCAGAGAUAGUAAAGGAACGGUGCAGGGUGUGAAACUGCAACCGGACAACUCCCCUUUGCCACAACCGAUUCGGACACAUACCAUUUGGACCUGCCCGACCACAAAAAUGAUCUGUCAGAGUUCCGGCCUGUCACCAUUGCCUGAUGGAAAAAAUCCUGCAGGAAAUCCGGCACGCAAGCGUCAUGCAACCUUUUUAAUUAUUCACGGUCAACCGUGUAAAAAAAAAUUAUCUCAGGUAUAUUGUUAAACAUACGAUCCUAAUGCCGGGACUGGUGCGUCCCGGCCCGGAUCGGGCAGCCGGCCAGCUCGUGGCCGCCGCGCCUUGAUACCCAGACCAGCAGGGGGAUCAGGUGGCCGCGGAGCUCCCAUCCAUCCGGGGUCAGGGAAUAUUUUGUCGUUGGCGGGGGGGC